rnacentral:rRNA from 1 species
CUGUGGUAAUUCUAGAGCUAAUACAUGCACCAAAGCUCCGAUUUUGACGAGCGCAUCUAUUAGAUUAAAACCAAUCAGGUUUCGGCCUGUUUAUUGGUGACUCUGAAUAGCUUAGCUGAUCGCAUGGUCUUGCACCGGCGACGUGUCUAUCAAGUGUCUGCCUUAUCAACUUUCGAUGGUAGUUUAAAUGCCUACCAUGGUUGUUACGGGUAACGGAGAAUAAGGGUUCGACUCCGGAGAGGGAGCCUUAAAAACGGCUACCACAUCCAAGGAAGGCAGCAGGCGCGCAAAUUACCCACUCUCAGCAUGAGGAGGUAGUGACGAAAAAUAACAAGACCGUUCUCUAUGAGGCCGGUUAUUGGAAUGAGUACAAUUUAAAUCCGUUAACGAGGAUCUAUGAGAGGGCAAGUCUGGUGCCAGCAGCCGCGGUAAUUCCAGCUCUCAAAGUGUAUAUCGUCAUUGCUGCGGUUAAAAAGCUCGUAGUUUGAUAUGCGCUACAGGAUUCGGUCCGCCCAUUGGGCGUGAACUGAACUCCUGGGCUAGUAUUGUUGGUUUUCCUUACGUUACCUUAAUCGGUUGCGUAAGGUGACUAACGAGUUUACUUUGAAAAAAUUAGAGUGCUUAACGCGGGCUUAUGCCUGAAUAUUCGUGCAUGGAAUAAUGGAAUAGGAUCUCGGUUCUAUUUUGUUGGUUUUCUGAUCUGAGAUAAUGGUUAAGAGGGACAGACGGGGGCAUUCGUAUCGCUUCGUGAGAGGUGAAAUUCUUGGACCGUAGCGAGACGCCCGACUGCGAAAGCAUUUGCCAAGAAUAUUACAUAGUCAA